rnacentral:tRNA from 3 species
UUCCUCUUAGCUCAGCCAGGCAGAGCAUCGCUAUGGUUACUUGUUCGAAGGUUUAGUAUCCGGUAAUUUCCGGUUAGCGAAGGUCGCACGUUCGAGUCGUGCAGAGGGAG